AUUGAACGCUGGCGGCAUGCCUUACACAUGCAAGUCGAACGGCAGCAUGGAGAGCUUGCUCUCUGAUGGCGAGUGGCGAACGGGUGAGUAAUGCAUCGGAACGUACCGUGUAAUGGGGGAUAACGUAGCGAAAGUUACGCUAAUACCGCAUACGACCUGAGGGUGAAAGCAGGGGAUCGCAAGACCUUGCGUUAUACGAGCGGCCGAUGUCAGAUUAGCUAGUUGGUGAGGUAAAGGCUCACCAAGGCGACGAUCUGUAGCGGGUCUGAGAGGAUGAUCCGCCACACUGGGACUGAGACACGGCCCAGACUCCUACGGGAGGCAGCAGUGGGGAAUUUUGGACAAUGGGGGAAACCCUGAUCCAGCCAUGCCGCGUGAGUGAAGAAGGCCUUCGGGUUGUAAAGCUCUUUCGGCCGGGAAGAAAUCGCACAGGCUAAUACUCUGUGUGGAUGACGGUACCGGCAUAAGAAACACCGGCUAACUACGUGCCAGCAGCAGCCGCCG
rnacentral:rRNA from 1 species